CUAAGGUCCAGUGACUCAAAUAUGGAAAUACUGACUUUAAACAUAUGGAUGUUUUGAUUUCAGUUAGAUCAAGAUGACAAUAAGAAAGUGUCAGAUCAUAUCCUAACUGUAGAAGCAAUCUGCUGAAAAAAUUUCAAGCAGAAUACUUUAGCCUACUCAGUUAGUGAUGUAAAGUACAUCAUAGCAUAUGAUGCUGUCAUGUAAGCUGUGUUGUUGCUGAGCUUCA
rnacentral:lncRNA from 1 species